GUCAUAAGCAUUUUAUAGGCACAGAUAUCUUAAGUCUUGUGUCACAUGCUUUGUGUCUGAUGCCACCAGAAAUGUGUUAUGAAUUCUGUAUUUAACCCACUCGUAGUGGUAUGAGCCCUUGAGGACUGAACCACAGAGUAAACACAGCCUUUGUAUGGUAGCAGAUUUGUAUCUAACUUUAUUUGUGGUUGGGGGAGAAAGUUGGUGUUUUUGUCUAAAUAGUCAAUAUUCAUCCUAUGGUUGGUUAUGUAAUUACUUGUUCUACGUUGUGACCUGUGCAAUAAAACAGAUUCGUGUAU